AACGAACGCUGGCGGCAUGCCUAACACAUGCAAGUCGAACGAGACCUUCGGGUCUAGUGGCGCACGGGUGCGUAACGCGUGGGAACCUGCCCUUAGGCUCGGAAUAACUCCCCGAAAGGGGUGCUAAUACCGGAUAAUGUCUUCGGACCAAAGAUUUAUCGCCUUUGGAUGGGCCCGCGUUGGAUUAGCUAGUUGGUAGGGUAAAAGCCUACCAAGGCGACGAUCCAUAGCUGGUCUGAGAGGAUGAUCAGCCACACUGGGACUGAGACACGGCCCAGACUCCUACGGGAGGCAGCAGUGGGGAAUAUUGGACAAUGGGCGAAAGCCUGAUCCAGCAAUGCCGCGUGAGUGAUGAAGGCCUUAGGGUUGUAAAGUUCUUUUACCCGGGAUGAUAAUGACAGUACCGGGAGAAUAAGCUCCGGCUAACUCCGUG
rnacentral:rRNA from 1 species